GACGAACGCUGGCGGCGUGCCUAACACAUGCAAGUCGAACGAAGCUUGAUGGUUGAUUUCUUCGGAAUGAAAUCUGAUAUGACUGAGUGGCGGACGGGUGAGUAACGCGUGAGCAACCUGCCCUUGGAGGGGAUAGUGUCUGGAAACGGACAGUAAUACCGCAUAACGUAUUUUACCGCAUGAUAGAAAUACCAAAACUGAGGUGCCGAAGGAUGGGCUCGCGUUGGAUUAGAUAGUUGGUGGGGUAACGGCCUACCAAGUCGACGAUCCAUAGCCGGACUGAGAGGUUGAACGGCCACAUUGGGACUGAGACACGGCCCAG
rnacentral:rRNA from 1 species